GAACACCAGUGGCGAAGGCGACUUACUGGGCCGUAACUGACGUUGAUGCGCGAAAGCGUGGGGAGCGAACAGGAUUAGAUACCCUGGUAGUCCACGCCGUAAACGAUGAGUGCUAGGUGUAGCGGGUAUCGACCCCUGCUGUGCCGGAGUUAACACAAUAAGCACUCCGCCUGGGGAGUACGGCCGCAAGGUUGAAACUCAAAGGAAUUGACGGGGGCCCGCACAAGCAGCGGAGCAUGUGGUUUAAUUCGAAGCAACGCGAAGAACCUUACCAGGUCUUGACAUCGAGGCAAAGCCGUAGAGAUACGGUGUUCAGCAAUGAGGCCGAAGACAGGUGGUGCAUGGUUGUCGUCGGCUCGUGUCGUGAGAUGUUGGGUUAAGUCUCGCAACGAGCGCAACCCUUAUUGUCAGUUACUAACGGGUAAAGCUGAGGACUCUGACGAGACUGCCGGGGACAACUCGGAGGAAGGUGGGGACGACGUCAAAUCAUCAUGCCCCUUAUGACCUGGGCUACACACGUGCUACAAUGGUGGUUACAGAGAGGAGCGAGCCCGCGAGGGGGAGCGGAUCUCAAAAAAGCCAUCUCAGUUCGGAUUGUGGGCUGCAACCCGCCCACAUGAAGUUG
rnacentral:rRNA from 1 species